CCUACGGGAGGCAGCAGUGAGGACUAUUGGUCAAUGGCCGAGAGGCUUAACCAGCCAAGUCGCGUGAGGGCAGACGGCCCUACGGGUUGUCAACCUCUUUUGUCGGGGCGCAAAGAGACCCACGUGUGGUUCAUUGAGAGUACCCGAAGAAAUAGCAUCGGCUAACUCCGUGCCAGCCGACGCGGUAAUACGGAGGAUGCGAGCGUUAUCCGGAUUUAUUGGGUUUAAAGUGUGCGCAGGCGGAGGUGCAAGUCAGCGGUCAAAUUGCGGGGCUCAACCCCGUACUGCCGUUGAAACUGUCUCCCUUGAGUUCGCGAGAGGUAUGCGGAAUGCGUGGUGUAGCGGUGAAAUGCAUAGAUAUCACGCAGAACUCCGAGUGCGAAGGCAGCAUACCGGCGCGCAACUGACGCUCAUGCACGAAAGCGUGGGUAUCGAACAGGAUUAGAUACCCUGGUAGUC
rnacentral:rRNA from 1 species